rnacentral:sRNA from 1 species
AUUGAAGUGAAAUGUCCUUAUGCUAGCAG